rnacentral:rRNA from 1 species
GAGUUUGAUCCUGGCUCAGGACGAACGCUGGCGGCGUGCUUAACACAUGCAAGUCGAACGGGAUGAUUUAGAGGCUUGCUUUUAGAGAAUCUAGUGGCAAACGGGUGAGUAACACGUAGACAACCUGCCGACAGGAUGGGGACAACAUUCCGAAAGGAAUGCUAAUACCGAAUGAAGUCAGAGAAGGGCAUCCUUUUCUGAUGAAAGAUGGCCUCUAUUUAUAAGCUAUCACCUGUCGAUGGGUCUGCGUCUGAUUAGCUGGUUGGUGAGGUAACGGCUCACCAAGGCGACGAUCAGUAGCCGGUCUGAGAGGAUGAACGGCCACAUUGGGACUGAGACACGGCCCAGACUCCUACGGGAGGCAGCAGUGGGGAAUCUUCCGCAAUGGGCGCAAGCCUGACGGAGCAACGCCGCGUGAGUGAAGAAGGUCUUCGGAUCGUAAAGCUCUGUUGAUGGGGACGAACGUGCGAAGGGUGAAUAAUCCUUUGUAAUGACGGUACCUGUCGAGGAAGCCACGGCUAACUACGUGCCAGCAGCCGCGGUAAUACGUAGGUGGCGAGCGUUGUCCGGAAUCAUUGGGCGUAAAGGGAGCGCAGGCGGGCAUGUAAGUCUUUCUUAAAAGUGCGGGGCUCAACCCCGUGAUGGGAAAGAAA